rnacentral:rRNA from 1 species
UGCGCAGGCGGAGCGACAAGUCAGUGGUGAAAUCCUACGGCUCAACCGUAGAACUGCCAUUGAUACUACCGUUCUUGAGUACAGUUGAGGUAGGCGGAAUGUAGCAUGUAGCGGUGAAACGCAUAGAUAUGCUACAGAACACCAAUAGCGAAGGCUGCUUACCAAACUGAGACUGACGCUCAGGCACGAAAGCGUGGGGAGCAAACAGGAUUAGAUACCCUGGUAGUCC